GGAAAGGCAAACCUUUACCUGGACACCAUCCUAUUACAAAUCUGCCAGCCUACAGACUAGUAAAACGCGCUGACCCAAGAGAAAGCAAAAAGCGGCCCCUUUCCCCGGCUCCAGCGCUGCUCGGCCAGGCUUCACUUUUAAAGGCGAGCAUCAUUGGUUCAUGCGCCACAGGAAAUGGAGCCAUCACAGGACGGGCCAAAGACACCUGUCUUCUCAUCCCUCUUCUCACUUUUCACUUCAAAGGCACGCACCUCAUCAGGGAAGAAAAAGGAAAGCUGAGAGGAACUGAGACAGCAGUUUUAGGUGAUGGGUUAAUUAUGCACAGUUGUGCCUUCCUCUCUCCUUUCUCAAUCUUCGCCCCAAGUCCUGCCUCCAGGUUUAUGCUGCAGAGUGUCCGUGGAAGGGUGGCUCUUACAUGGUAGCUCUGAAAAGCUUGACAUUAUUUUACUAAGUGAAUGCAAGAAUUCUCAUGUGGGCAUCUCCACUCAUGGAUAGGAUUGCCAGAUUUAGCAAAUAAAAGUACAAUGAAAUAUCCAAUUACACUUGAAUUUCAGAUAAUCAACAAAUACUUCUUUUUCGUACAGUUAUGCCCUGUUUAACCUCUACUGUUCCACUAGGGAUAUACUUGUAUUGCGCACUUACCUGUUGUUUAUAUAAAAUUCAAAUUUAACCAGGCAUCCCACUCAUGGGGCCCCAGACCAAACGGAAGCCCCCUCCCUACCCCUAGCCAAAUGCUGGUUGAGUUUUUUGGGAUGAUAAUGAGGAAAAUAAGGCCAGAAGACCCACAUUGCCCCUCAUCUAUAGCACCUGAAACUUGGAACCACCCAACAGAUCCAGUUCUGCCCUGCCCUGAAGAGAGUUGCCUUCAUUUUCAGCAGAGUCUAGAGAGUAAUUUAAAGUUUGAAUUGGC
rnacentral:lncRNA from 10 species